rnacentral:rRNA from 1 species
AACGAACGCUGGCGGCAUGCCUAACACAUGCAAGUCGAACGAGACCUUCGGGUCUAGUGGCGCACGGGUGCGUAACGCGUGGGAACCUGCCCUUAGGUUCGGAAUAACUCCCCGAAAGGGGUGCUAAUACCGGAUAAUGUCUUCGGACCAAAGAUUUAUCGCCUUUGGAUGGGCCCGCGUUGGAUUAGCUAGUUGGUAGGGUAAAAGCCUACCAAGGCGACGAUCCAUAGCUGGUCUGAGAGGAUGAUCAGCCACACUGGGACUGAGACACGGCCCAGACUCCUAGGGGGGGAGGCAGUGGGAAAUUUGGGACAAGGGGCGAAGGCUGAACCCGGCAUGGCGGGGUAGUGGAUAAAGGCCUUGGGGUGGUAAGCUCUUUUACCCGGGAUGAUAAUGACAGUACCGGGAGAAUAAGCUCCGGCUAACUCCGUG